CCUACGGGAGGCAGCAGUGGGGAAUAUUGCACAAUGGGGGGCACCUUGAUGCAGCAACGCCGCGUGGGUGCAGAAGUACUCCGGUAUGUAAAGCCCUGUCAGCAGGGACGAAAAUGACGGUACCUGACCAAGAAGCCCCGUCUAACUACGUGCCAGCAGCCGCGGUAAUACGUAGGGGGCAAGCGUUAUCCGGAUUUACUGGGUGUAAAGGGGACGUAGACGGCAAGGCAAGUCUGGAGUGAAAGCCCGUGGCCAAACCACGGGACUGCUUUGGAAACUGUUGUGCUGGAGUGCAGGAGGGGUAAGCGGAAUGCCUAGUGUAGCGGUGAAAUGCGUAGAUAGUAGGAGGAACACCGGUGGCGAAGGCGGCUUACGGGACUGUAACUGACGUUGAGGCUCGAAGGCGUGGGGAGCAAACAGGAUUAGAUACCCGAGUAGUC
rnacentral:rRNA from 1 species